GAACGCUAGCGGCAGGCUUAAUACAUGCAAGUCGAGGGGCAGCGCAGUGUAGCAAUACAUGGGCGGCGACCGGCAAACGGGUGCGGAACACGUACGCAACCUUCCUUUAAGUGAGAGAUAGCCCGGGGAAACCCGGAUUAAUACCUCGUAAUAAUGUGGUGUGGCAUCAUACUACAUUUAUAGCUCAGGCGCUUAAAGAUGGGCGUGCGGCUGAUUAGGUAGUUGGCGGGGUAACAGCUCACCAAGCCUACGAUCAGUAACUGGUGUGAGAGCACGACCAGUCACACGGGCACUGAGACACGGGCCCGACUCCUACGGGAGGCAGCAGUAAGGAAUAUUGGUCAAUGGACGCAAGUCUGAACCAGCCAUGCCGCGUGGAGGAUGAAGGUCCUCUGGAUUGUAAACUUCUUUUAUCUGAGAAGAAACCCUUGUAUUCUUACGAGGUUGACGGUACCAGAUGAAUAAGCACCGGCUAACUCCGUGCCAGCAGCCGCGGUAAUACGGAGGGUGCAAGCGUUAUCCGGAUUCACUGGGUUUAAAGGGUGCGUAGGUGGGCUAGUAAGUCCGUGGCGAAAUCUCCAAGCUUAACUUGGAAACUGCCGUGGAUACUAUUAGUCUUGAAUAUUGUGGAGGUAAGCGGAAUAUGUCAUGUAGCGGUGAAAUGCUUAGAUAUGACAUAGAACACCGAUAGCGAAGGCAGCUUACUACACAAUCAUU
rnacentral:rRNA from 1 species